rnacentral:tRNA from 1 species
CAUGGCAUGGCCUAGUGGAAAAAGUACUGGCCUGAGAAUCAGAGGACCUGGGUUCUAAUCCCGGUUCUAUCA